rnacentral:lncRNA from 1 species
GCUACAUUAUUCCAGGAGGGUGAGUGCUCUGAAAAAAAAGAGAGAAGUGAAAACGAGGAAAUAAAAAGGGGCAAGUGCCCAGAACCUCGAAGAAAAAAAGUGAAACGAGAGGUAAAAAUGGACAAGUGUCCGACAGUAGAAAUAGGGGUACAAGAUACCCACCUGAGAGAAAAGAAAAAGAAAAUAUAGAGCAUCUCAUUCUCCUCAAAAAGCUUCAAAGUGCAAGAAAGGUAUGUAUCCCUUCAAAAGAGCAGAAGUAGAAUUAGACUUUCACCAUUGUUUUCACCAUUAUCACCAUCAUCACCAUACACCAUUCAUUCGCCACACAUGCACAUCUUGAUUUGACUUAUUGACUUGUUUCUCUGGAUCCAUGGUUUGACUAUGCAAUAAAUGUCUUGUAAGUAUGUAUAUUUUAUCUCCCACCUAUGAGCUCCAGAUAUCAAAACCUUAUUAGAGUAGGGUGAGAGAGAAGGUAAUGUCACUAUGCCUCAUACCAAAAAUACCACAUACUUUGAGAGAAGGCAUACACCAUUACUGCCUUGGUAAGGAUCCAAAAAUACCACAAA